rnacentral:rRNA from 1 species
AUGGGCGCAAGCNCUGAUCCAGCCAUGCUGCGUGUNUCGAAGAAGGCCUUACGGGUUGUAAAGGACUUUUGUCAGGGAAGAAAAGGUUGCGGCUAAUAUCCAUGACUGAUGACGGUACCUGAAGAAUAAGCACCGGCUAACUACGUGCCAGNCAGCCGCGGUAAUACGUAGGGUGCGAGCGUUAAUCGGAAUUACUGGGCGUAAAGCGAGCGCAGACGGUUACUUAAGCAGGAUGUGAAAUCCCCGGGCUCAACCUGGGAACUGCGUUCUGAACUGGGUGACUAGAGUAUGUCAGAGGGGGGUAGAAUUCCACGUGUAGCAGUGAAAUGCGUAGAGAUGUGGAGGAAUACCGAUGGCGAAGGCAGCCCCCUGGGAUAAUACUGACGUUCAUGCUCGAAAGCGUGGGUAAGCAAACAGGAUUAGAUACCCUGGUAGUCCCA